GAUGAACGCUGGCGGCGUGCUUAACACAUGCAAGUCGAACGAAGCACUUUUUAACUUCGGUUAAAAGUGACUUAGUGGCGGACGGGUGAGUAACGCGUGGGUAACCUGCCUUAUACAGGGGGAUAACAGCUGGAAACGGCUGCUAAUACCGCAUAAGCGCACAGCAUCGCAUGAUGCAGUGUGAAAAUAUUUAUAGGGUAUAAGAUGGACCCGCGUCUGAUUAGCUAGGUUGGUGAGGUAAUGGCCCACCAAGGCGACGAUCAGUAGCCGGCUUGAGAGAGUGAACGGCCACAUUGGGACUGAGACACGGCCCAAACUCCUACGGGUGGCAG
rnacentral:rRNA from 1 species